CAUUGACUUAUCUUUCAAGUUUACUCAAAUAUGGUGUUCUGAAAGUCAGCCUUCAAAAUUAAUCACAUGCUUGUGUAACAGCCAGUUUAGCCUUCUCCUCUCUGCAUGUGAGAGGAGAAAUAUGAAAGGAGGAACAGAAUGAAGUCCAGGCCAAGAACAAAGAGUGGAAGAGGAAAGGGACGCUGCUGCUCCGUGAUGGAAAGAAGUAGCUAGAAGGAACGUUCAAGAAGAGUAGUCAAUGGGAAACUGGUGGAACUUCCAGUUAUAUUGAGAGAGGCUCUCAGCCAAGAGGAUACUGAAACCAGGGCCCAGAGGGGAUGGCCAUUAGAUAACUUUCUCAAAUAAGGUUUCUGGUGAGUGGAAGAG